rnacentral:rRNA from 1 species
GCAGUCGAACGUGAAAGUCUCCUUCGGGGGAUGGGUAAAGUGGCGAACGGGUGAGUAACACGUGGGUAAUCUACCUUGGUGUCUGGGAUAACAUCUCGAAAGGGGUGCUAAUACCGGAUAAGACCACGGCCUCCUUGGAGGCUGAGGUAAAAGGAGGGGGCUUCGGUCCUUCGCACCUUGAUGAGCCCGCGUCCCAUUAGCUAGUUGGUGAGGUAACGGCCCACCAAGGCUACGAUGGGUAGCUGGUCUGAGAGGAUGAUCAGCCACACUGGAACUGAGACACGGUCCAGACUCCUACGGGAGGCAGCAGUGGGGAAUAUUGCGCAAUGGGGGAAACCCUGGCGCAGCAACGCCGCGUGGGUGAUGAAGGCUUUCGGGUCGUAAAACCCUGUCAGAGGGAAAGAAACGGUUUGUGAGGAAAUGCACAAGCCCUGACGGUACCCUCAGAGGAAGCACCGGCUAACUCCGUGCCAGCAGCCGCGGUAAAACGGGGGGUGCAAGCGUUGUCCGGAAUUACUGGGCGUAAAGGGCGUGUAGGCGGCACAUCAAGUCAGAUGUGAAAUCCCUCGGCUUAACCGGGGAAUUGCAUUUGAAACUGGUGAGCUAGAGUACGGUAGAGGGAAGGGGAAUUCCCGGUGUAGAGGUGAAAUUCGUAGAUAUCGGGAGGAAUACCAGUGGCGAAGGCGCCUUCCUGGACCAGUACUGACGCUGAGACGCGAAAGCGUGGGGAGCAAACAGGAUUAGAU